GAGUCACAUAUAUCAUAAUUUUCAUUUUGUUUUAGUGUUGGAGGGAGGAUUACCUACCCUUCUUCACCCUUUCCUUAUCCUUAUCCUUAUGUUUAAAUAAAACUCAUGUCACUCUUUUUUAUAUCAAAUAUCUUUUCUUUUUAACACACUUCCUGAACUUAUCUCAUAAACAAUUACAUCAAAUCUACUAUCAAAAAAAUAUAUAAAAUGUUUGGAUCAUCCCAUUUCAUUGUUUUGUCG
rnacentral:lncRNA from 1 species